rnacentral:rRNA from 1 species
GAGUUUGAUCCUGGCUCAGAUUGAACGCUGGCGGCAUGCCUUACACAUGCAAGUCGAACGGCAGCACGGGAGCUUGCUCCUGGUGGCGAGUGGCGAACGGGUGAGUAAUGCAUCGGAACGUAUCCUGGAGUGGGGGAUAACGUAGCGAAAGUUACGCUAAUACCGCAUAUUCUGUGAGCAGGAAAGCGGGGGACCUUCGGGCCUCGCGCUCUUGGAGCGGCCGAUGUCGGAUUAGCUAGUUGGUGAGGUAAAGGCUCACCAUGGCGACGAUCCGUAGCAGGUCUGAGAGGAUGAUCUGCCACACUGGAACUGAGACACGGUCCAGACUCCUACGGAGGCAGCAGUGGGGAAUUUUGGACAAUGGGGGCAACCCUGAUCCAGCCAUGCCGCGUGAGUGAAGAAGGCCU